rnacentral:rRNA from 1 species
AUUGAACGCUGGCGGCAGGCCUAACACAUGCAAGUCGAACGAGUGGCGGACGGGUGAGUAAUGUCUGGGCAACUGCCCGAUGGAGGGGGAUAACUACUGGAAACGGUAGCUAAUACCGCAUACCAUCGGAUGUGCCCAGGUUGGAUUAGCUAGGGGGGGGGGUAACGGCUCACCUAGGCGACGAUCCCCAGCUGGUCUGAGAGGAUGACCAGCCACACUGGAACGGAGACACGGUCCAGACUCCUACGGAAGGCAGCAGUGGGGAAUAUUGCACAAUGGGCGCAAGCCUGAGGCAGCCAUGCCGCGUGGAUGAAGAAGGCUUUCGGGUUGUAAAGUACUUUCAGCGGGGAGGCGGUACCCGCAGAGGAAGCACCGGCUAACUCCGUGCCAGCAGCCGCGGUAAUUC